rnacentral:rRNA from 1 species
GGGUUGUGAGGUUAAGCGACUAAGCGUACACGGUGGAUGCCCUGGCAGUCAGAGGCGAUGAAGGGCGUGCUAAUCUGCGAUAAGCGCCGGUAAGGUGAUAUGAACCGUUAUAACCGGCGAUACCCGAAUGGGGAAACCCAGUGUGAUUCGUCACACUAUCAUUAACUGAAUCCAUAGGUUAAUGAGGCGAACCGGGGGAACUGAAACAUCUAAGUACCCCGAGGAAAAGAAAUCAACCGAGAUUCCCCCAGUAGCGGCGAGCGAACGGGGAGGAGCCCAGAGCCUGAAUCAGCAUGUGUGUUAGUGGAAGCGUCUGGAAAGGCGCGCGAUACAGGGUGACAGCCCCGUACACAAAAGCGCAUGUGCUGUGAGCUCGAUGAGUAGGGCGGGACACGUGGUAUCCUGUCUGAAUAUGGGGGGACCAUCCUCCAAGGCUAAAUACUCCUGACUGACCGAUAGUGAACCAGUACCGUGAGGGAAAGGCGAAAAGAACCCCGGCGAGGGGAGUGAAAAAGAACCUGAAACCGUGUACGUACAAGCAGUGGGAGCACCCUUUGGGUGUGACUGCGUACCUUUUGUAUAAUGGGUCAGCGACUUAUAUUCUGUAGCAAGGUUAACCGAAUAGGGGAGCCGGAGGGAAACCGAGUCUUAACCGGGCGUUAAGUUGCAGGGUAUAGACCCGAAACCCGGUGAUCUAGCCAUGGGCAGGUUGAAGGUUGGGUAACACUAACUGGAGGACCGAACCGACUAAUGUUGAAAAAUUAGCGGAUGACCUGUGGCUGGGGGUGAAAGGCCAAUCAAACCGGGAGAUAGCUGGUUCUCCCCGAAAGCUAUUUAGGUAGCGCCUCGUGAAUUCAUCUCCGGGGGUAGAGCACUGUUUCGGCUAGGGGGCCAUCCCGGCUUACCAACCCGAUGCAAACUGCGAAUACCGGAGAAUGUUAUCACGGGAGACACACGGCGGGUGCUAACGUCCGUCGUGAAGAGGGAAACAACCCAGACCGCCAGCUAAGGUCCCAAAGUCAUGGUUAAGUGGGAAACGAUGUGGGAAGGCCCAGACAGCCAGGAUGUUGGCUUAGAAGCAGCCAUCAUUUAAAGAAAGCGUAAUAGCUCACUGGUCGAGUCGGCCUGCGCGGAAGAUGUAACGGGGCUAAACCAUGCACCGAAGCUGCGGCAGCGACACUGUGUGUUGUUGGGUAGGGGAGCGUUCUGUAAGCCUGUGAAGGUGUGUCGUGAGGCAUGCUGGAGGUAUCAGAAGUGCGAAUGCUGACAUAAGUAACGAUAAAGCGGGUGAAAAGCCCGCUCGCCGGAAGACCAAGGGUUCCUGUCCAACGUUAAUCGGGGCAGGGUGAGUCGACCCCUAAGGCGAGGCCGAAAGGCGUAGUCGAUGGGAAACGGGUUAAUAUUCCCGUACUUGGUGUUACUGCGAAGGGGGGACGGAGAAGGCUAUGUUGGCCGGGCGACGGUUGUCCCGGUUUAAGCGUGUAGGUGUGUGUUCCAGGUAAAUCCGGUUCACUUUAACACUGAGGCGUGACGACGAGGCACUACGGUGCUGAAGCAACAAAUGCCCUGCUUCCAGGAAAAGCCUCUAAGCAUCAGGUAACAUCAAAUCGUACCCCAAACCGACACAGGUGGUCAGGUAGAGAAUACCAAGGCGCUUGAGAGAACUCGGGUGAAGGAACUAGGCAAAAUGGUGCCGUAACUUCGGGAGAAGGCACGCUGACACGUAGGUGAAGUGAUUUACUCAUGGAGCUGAAGUCAGUCGAAGAUACCAGCUGGCUGCAACUGUUUAUUAAAAACACAGCACUGUGCAAACACGAAAGUGGACGUAUACGGUGUGACGCCUGCCCGGUGCCGGAAGGUUAAUUGAUGGGGUCAGCGCAAGCGAAGCUCCUGAUCGAAGCCCCGGUAAACGGCGGCCGUAACUAUAACGGUCCUAAGGUAGCGAAAUUCCUUGUCGGGUAAGUUCCGACCUGCACGAAUGGCGUAAUGAUGGCCAGGCUGUCUCCACCCGAGACUCAGUGAAAUUGAACUCGCUGUGAAGAUGCAGUGUACCCGCGGCAAGACGGAAAGACCCCGUGAACCUUUACUAUAGCUUGACACUGAACAUUGAGCCUUGAUGUGUAGGAUAGGUGGGAGGCUUUGAAGUGUGGACGCCAGUCUGCAUGGAGCCGACCUUGAAAUACCACCCUUUAAUGUUUGAUGUUCUAACGUGGACCCGUUACCCGGGUUGCGGACAGUGUCUGGUGGGUAGUUUGACUGGGGCGGUCUCCUCCUAAAGAGUAACGGAGGAGCACGAAGGUUGGCUAAUCCUGGUCGGACAUCAGGAGGUUAGUGCAAUGGCAUAAGCCAGCUUGACUGCGAGCGUGACGGCGCGAGCAGGUGCGAAAGCAGGUCAUAGUGAUCCGGUGGUUCUGAAUGGAAGGGCCAUCGCUCAACGGAUAAAAGGUACUCCGGGGAUAACAGGCUGAUACCGCCCAAGAGUUCAUAUCGACGGCGGUGUUUGGCACCUCGAUGUCGGCUCAUCACAUCCUGGGGCUGAAGUAGGUCCCAAGGGUAUGGCUGUUCGCCAUUUAAAGUGGUACGCGAGCUGGGUUUAGAACGUCGUGAGACAGUUCGGUCCCUAUCUGCCGUGGGCGCUGGAGAACUGAGGGGGGCUGCUCCUAGUACGAGAGGACCGGAGUGGACGCAUCACUGGUGUUCGGGUUGUCAUGCCAAUGGCACUGCCCGGUAGCUAAAUGCGGAAGAGAUAAGUGCUGAAAGCAUCUAAGCACGAAACUUGCCCCGAGAUGAGUUCUCCCUGAGACUUAGAG